rnacentral:rRNA from 1 species
UACUAGAGUAGCACUCGCAUAUCAAUAAGCGGAGGAAAAGAAACUAACAAGGAUUCCCCUAGUAACGGCGAGUGAAGCGGGAAGAGCUCAAAUUUGAAAUCUUAAAGGGUUUCCCUUUACGAAUUGUAGUUUAAAGAAGUGUUUUCUGUUGAGGUUUUGGUAAAAGUUCUUUGGAAUAGGACAUCAUAGAGGGUGAGAAUCCCGUAUUUGACCUUUACUUUCAACUUUGUGAUACACUUUCAAAGAGUCGGAUUGUUUGGGAAUGCAGUCCAAAAUGGGUGGUAAAUUUCAUCUAAAGCUAAAUAUUGGCGAGAGACCGAUAGCGAACAAGUACCGUGAGGGAAAGAUGAAAAGAACUUUGAAAAGAGAGUUAAACAGUACGUGAAAUUGUCAAAAGGGAAGCGUUUGACACCAGUGUUGUUUUUCUGAAAAUCAAUUAAAGAACUGUUUAUGCUAAGUUGUUUAGACUUUAUCAGCUAACUGUUUAGUUUUGAGCUUUUCUUUAAUGCACUUUUCAGUUAACAAGUCAACAUCAAUUUCUUUUGCUGUAAAAAAGCUUGAGGAAGGUGGCUUGAGAUUCGUCUUAAGUGUUUAUAGCCUCUUGCCUAUGCAGUCGGAGAGAUUGAGGGUCUGCAGCGUAGAUCCUUCGGGGCUAAAUGCAUUUGUGCUAAGUUAUAGCAUUUUAUAGACAACUUGUUGACUAUGAUUUGUCUUGUAGCUUACUCGCUUAUGUUAUUUUACCUACGCUUAGGAUGUUGAGCGCAUGUCUCUCUCU